rnacentral:lncRNA from 1 species
CCUUUCUCUCUCUGCAAUUUUCAGCCGCUCCAAAACUCAGCAAACCCUAAAAACUUCUCUUUCCUCCCGGAGAAGACGGCCGAAGGCGACGGCUUAUGGUGGAGCCUCCCUUCUUCUCCGGCCACCGUCCCUAAAACACAACUUAACCCUCUAAAUACCCCCUUUCGAGUUCGAAUCCAACCUCUAAAAAUCCCUAAACCCUUAACACAAAACCGAUUCGCCCUGAGCUAACGAGUACGAAGAACAACCAAGAAAGAUCAAACGAAGAACCGAAGAGAAAGAUCGAAGUCCGAAUCGAGGAUUCCAAAGAGCGAAAUGCUAAGGGGUUCGCUCAAAUCGGAGCUCAAACGAAAAACACCCAGGAGCGAGCAAACGAGAUAGACAGUGCGAAAUCCAGUAUAAAUGAAGAUUAUGCAAGUUCUUUUUAAAAUGAGAGGCAAGGGGUUUUACCGUCCAGUAGGGCUUUCAGGUAAAUCAACACUUUUCUUCUCUCCUCUAAUACUGUUGCGCUUUUGAAGAGGUAGGAGGAUCUAACCUCACCUAGGCCAGAGUUUCAACGAGAAAACUCUCUCUUAGAUUUUUGAAAACUUGAGUUUUUUUGUGAAAAGGUCCUCCUUUGGAUUUUUCUACUGCGUUAUCUUAUAUCUGAUAAUCUUUUCACAGAUGAAUUUUUAAGUCUAAAAAAAAGCUCUGUCUGUUAUGCCUUUUCAUUCCAGGUUAUUUUGGAUUUCAUUUUUGUAAAUGUGUUACUGUUUUAAGCCAUUUUCGAAAUGUUUUUUGAGUAUUCAUGUUGGUCUUCUGGAUAAAGUGUUAAACUGAUUAACUUAUUAGUUAUUUUUCAGUUCUUUAAGCGCUUUUGGAAAGGGCUUUUUAUUUAAGCUGUUUUUCUCUCUGCAGGUUACAACGUGAAGUGACUUUGAUGGAUAGUUUGUGGGCUGUAAUACAGCAAGGUUGGAGGCGCGUCCCAGUUCAAAGAGAUUUCAAUUUGAUUACCUGACUUUGGUCUUUAGGAUUUAUUCCCAUUUGUAGCAAAUUUCACUGUAAUUACAUUGGUUUUUUUUUAAGACAAAUGUCUGCUUGGAUUAUGUAACUUAUUGAAUUAAAAGUCUAAUAACCAUUAAUAAUUAUGUAUUCAACCUUUUAAUCUUUCAAAA